UCUCAAAACAGAAGGAAGUAGCAAUCUCUGUUUUUACAUUGCAUUUAAGUAGUUGUUAUAAGUAUCAUCAUUAUCAUCAUAAAAAUGAAUAUUUAUUGCACACACAGUACGUGCUGGGCCCUGUUUUGUAUUCCACCUGUUAUGUCAAUUUGAUCUGCACAGCAACCCUUCAAGGGGGUGACGAUGCUGUCAUUGUUUUACAGGAACUGAGGGAACUGAGAACAUAAAAGCAAAGUCACCUGCCCCAGGCCACAUUUAGAGCAAGCCCAGCCCGUCUGACUCAAGGGCCAGGUGCAGAACCAUGCGGCCAUGCUGCCCUACUGCGCCCCAGGCCCAUUCUGGGUGCUCCGUCGAUGAGCCCCUAGACCCCACGGUGAAUCAGGAAGACGGAUACAUGAACAGUUAAAACAUGAUUGAAAAGUGCUCUAGAAAAGACCUCCCAUGUCGAAGAGUGAUGGGUGGUGACAGCUGUCCUUGUGUGGUUCCUGCUCUCAGAAGGAAAGCUUUCAACAUUGCACCAUGAAACAGGAUGUUGCUAGAGCACACUUCUGGCUCUGUCGAGCCUCUCUGUUACAUGUAGAUAGUUUUCUCACCGGUGGCAAUGAGAGAUACAGUCCCCGAAUAAACAGGCCUGGAGGCUCUGGAAGGUCAGAGGCUGGCUGGAGACUGGCCAUGGCUGUCACCUGGGCGGCGAUGGAUGAGACGGCAGGGGAGGGCAGCUUGUGCUCCAGCGCCCGGUGCACAGGACUGAACACAGAUGCUGUCACCGGUGAAGAUGCUCCCAGCGUGGUUUUGGCAGCUAAGUGUUCCUGUGUCCCUCUGUCCCAUCAUCCCCGUUGAAGUUGGUGAGCCCACCUCAAUAGUAGCUUCCACCCGAGGCCAUAAAUUUCCUAAAAUGAAACAAUCACAGAGCUUUUCAGGGGUCCUGUCACUGUGGGUUUCUUCAGUUCCCUCUGUCUGUUCUCAUAGAACAUGGUGUGGGGUGGGUGUAUGGGUUGCACAGGAUGAAACACGUCCAACAUUUCCAUCUCUUGAGGCCUUUGGGUUCGCUCUCUGCAUCAUCCCAGGACGCUCUGGCAUUUCAAAUGCAGCCACUAUGACAUGUGACUCAGGCAACCAACCAAGCAAGCCGCUGGAGCCUCCUCCACGUGCACGAGCUAACACAAUAAGUCCAGAUUCCCGGUAAGUGCACACUUACCCACGAACUUGCCUCCCUCUUGGGUUACAUUUCCUCCUUGGUCUAAUACCCACAGAAUCCACCCCUCCUCUGUGUUUUCCAGGUUUUCUUCAACAUGUACAAGCAAAGUCUUGCUUUUGUUGUGUAGACGGUUUCCUCUUGGGUCACAGUUUGUACCUGUCCCUUUGGAGCAGGCUGACAUUUCAUCACUGUUGUGGAUCUCUUGGCAGCGUGGGUGGUUGUGGGGGCUCUUGAGGUGAGUGAGCACCCAGUUAAAGGUUUCAAGGAGAAGAAAGCCACUUCUACGGUCAAGGGAUGCUCCGAGUGAUUGAAAGUUCAAGAUUUGGGCUUCACGUGGAUCCUAUCAGGUGCUCCCACUCCAUGUUUCAGAUUCCCAUUCUCACCCAUGAGAAAGAAUUUGCCAAGGACAUGACUUUCACAUGGGAAACUUGGCAAGACGGUAAACUCAACAGACGUUGGAAUUCUGCAACCUGCACGAUUAAUUUUGUAUUUGAUUUUUGGGCACAUCCUGUGGCUGCAAGAAAUGAGAGAUUUAUUUAGGGCUGUCAUAGCUGAGAGUUAAAGGACUAAGCUUAGAAUUUUUAUUCCAAAUGCUCCGGUGCACUCAGCAGAAGCCACUGUGGUCCCUGCAGUCAUCAUCGCUGCCGCGGCAGUCAAGGCUGCAGCUACUUGGGCUCCCAAGGCACUUGCUUCCAUUGACACUUUGUCACCAUCAACCACAGGUGAUGGUUCGAUCCGUGGUGGUGCCUCUGCGAGCCAUGAAUUCCCGACCCCACUUCCCACUGGCGAAGAGCUCAGUCAGCACUGUGCUCAAACCUGGGGCCACGACCAACCCACUUCCAAGAAUCUCAUCUCGGUGGGUCUAUGUCCUGGGAUUGCACCAACUUUCCAUCUUCCAGGAUCCACACAAGAGACAGAUACCACAGUGAAUUUGAACAGGGAAAAUUCAGUAUAAAUAAAUAACGAUUAGCUCUCGCCAAGGAAUGCCUAGCGGGGGGGAAAGAACUCUAAAGAGUGCAGGUGUGAAGACCCGCUCUGCAUCCAGGGUUCCAUCUAAGGGACAAACUGGGAAGAGCCUCUCCUGCAUCUCCAGCCCCACCAGGGCUGAGGCUCUGGGCCAGCGGGAGGGUGUGGAGCCCCCUGGCAGGGGGAGGGACUUGCUGGGGUACGGCUGGAGUGGUCCGCGGGGAGGCACCACCCCAGGAACUUGUCAGCAGGUACUCACGGGAGUGGGAACACUGCUGGGUGUCCCAGUGCCGGCCACCGCAUGCAGCAGGAACAGCAGAGAAGAGCACAGCUGGAACGAGGAAGAAAAGCCCCUUUCUCCUCCUGGGUCCCUCCAACCCCUGCUACUGACAAAACGCAACCUCAUGCCGGUUGGCGAGGGGGAACGUUCCAGUGCCACAAGCAGGUACCCGAGGAUUUGGAGCUGAGAGGUGACAGUCACCACCUUGCUGCUGAGUUGCUGUGAGGCUUAGCUGGGAUGCGCACGUCCAGUCACGUCGUAUCAAGAGGGGAACAGGACUCGGCAGUUGACCCCACCCCACACUUUGGGUUCUGGCCUCCGGACCUCUCCCGGAGUGGGAGCUUCCCUUCUCUGGCCAGGACCACGGCCCUGUCCCCUGUCCCGGGCUCUGGAGUCCUGACCCAGAAGGUCAGAGAGGAAGGCAGAGGAGCAGAACUGAGAGGUGUCAACGGGGCCCAACUCCUCCUUCCUCUUCUUAACUUGCUAUGGCAGUGAGGAGGGAGCUCCGCAGCCCUGGAACGGUCAGACCAUCGUCCCUGCAGGAGCUGGUGACGAAGCUGCUCUUCCUGAGGACACAGCCCUGUGGGCCUCGAGGGCUGUUCGGGUUUCCAGAGGCCCCUGAGGACCACACGCAUCCCCAGGUCUCACCCCGCAGCCUCUGUGAGCAGCCCAGUUUGAGUGCCUACCACGUGCCAGGCCACGCACCGGGGACCAGGGAGAGAAGAACGAAGUCUCCUGCUGUCUAACCGUAAGGAACAUGCUGAUUGUUUACCGUGUGCUGGGCACUGGCCUGAGCUCUGUACGUAUAUUAACUUACGUGGUCCCCACGGCAGCAGGGCCAGGUGGUGCUGUUGUUAUUUCCAUUUUUCAGAUGAGCGCACUGAGGCACAGAGAGGUCACGUGGCAGAGCUGGAACCGAAGGCGAGGAGCUGGCGGAGCCCACGGCCUGCAUGGCCCAGUCCACCGUUCGGCCCCCACGCCCCAGGUGUGAGGGGACAGGCCUGGGCAGGCUGUCGUGGCCUCCGGGUAACUGAGGAGGGCAGAGCACCCAGGCCUCUCCGGGGGGGAGGAGACUCAAGUGCACGGUCUUGGUCGGGGGAAGCGCUGGGAUUGAUCUUGGUGCAGCUCACACAGAUCUGCCUGUCAGGCCAGAAAUGCUGCGUUUAAAGGGCUGGGGACACCACAGGUGGAGGCCAGGGCAGGCCUGUGGCUCCACCCAGUGCUGUCGGUAGCCGUAGGUACCCGGGAAGGGGUGGCUGCUAAUCCAGGGCGGGGUCGGGGCAGUUGCCCCAAGGUACAGUUCCCCGUACGGGCAGGAAUCUUGCUCUUGCUCAGGGACGGUCACAGCAGGGUCCGCCAGAAGGGUCAGACCCGAGCUGCGCCUGCCGGGGUGUGGUGAAAAGCACGCGGGUGUUGAGCUGCCCAGGUGUGGGUUCUGGUCUCGCUGCUGCCCCCCACUCGCUGUGUGGCUUGCACGUCCCUUCUCUGCGUCUUCUCAUUGUAAAAGGAGACUAAUAAAAACGUCACCAUCUCACUUCACUGGGUUGCAGGGAAGAUGAAAUGACAGCUUGUUUAUGGAGAGCUGAGGGCAGGUCCUGGAAACAGCACCCAUCCUGUUAACUCAGGCAGACACUGUCAUCAGCCCUGAUGUUCAGAUGGGGACCCUGAGGCCCAGCCGGGUUAAGCUCAAAGUCCCAGAGACAGGGUGUCACAAAAAUAAGUGAGGACUGUGUGUCACGAGCUCUGCAGUGCCUGGUAUGUAGGACACGCUCAGCAAACGCCGGCUGCAUUCGCCUCAUUUCCCAUCUCUAAGAAGCUGCUGCUACCCCAGAUUUGACACUAUUUGGUAGCAUCAGAAGCCCCAACUCCAGCCCAGCAUUCUGGCCCCGGUGACCUGUCUCCUGCUGUCCCUGCACCUCCUCCCACCUCUCUGAGCUGCGGGCUCUUGGACGCUUGCUGUCCAGACGCACCGUACACCUUCCUGAUGCUUCACCCUUUGUGUGGAGUUAUCGUCCUCACUGACACCCCUCCCCACCUCAUCCCUGUCCCUGGGCUUAAUCCCACCUUCUGUCUGGGCUCAGUGCCCAUCACACCUCCUCCAGGAAGCCUUCCAGGAUGCCCCAGCAUUGCAGACCUCCUCCCUCCUCUGAAGUCCUCUGCACCCAGUUUAGGGGCCUCCUGCCUGCAAGAGGUGAACUUUUUCCUCACUUACCUCUACCUGCCCUCGAGCCUGGCUCCGUCCAGAAGGAGAGUGAAGUGCCCACGGGCCGCUGGGCGCCAGCCAGGGCUGCGUGCCUGGGUCUGCCCUGCCUGUCCCUUGCUACUGAGGCAGUAAACAAAGGCUACCCAAGGCGGAAGUUCAAGGGGGCUCCCUUGUCCUGCGCUGGGAGCUAGUGGCACAUCUGGAGACCCCAACAGCUGGCCUGUAGGACUUACUAGUUUGGGGGCAGGCACAGGGCAGGGGCCACCUCACCGAAUCACAGAGGAGCCCAGUGUUCUCUGCCCCUCCAGGCCACGUGGAGUCAGCUCAUGACAGCCGCCGGCCUGGCUCCAGCCUGGCUCCACCGAUCCCGCACAGAGCCAGCACCGGGUGGCAGAGCUCCACCUGCCCACUGACGCUCCCGCAGGACAGGGAGCAGGGGCCGCACUUUGGGGAGGGGACAAUAUGGGCAGCCAGGAGAGCCAUGCAGGGUGGGCAGAGCCUGGGGGUGUCUGGCCAGGAGAGACUCCUUGCCUGGGGGUCAGUGUGGGGCCAGACAGGCCACUGUGCUGAGGGACAGGGCCAGGCAGGGAGAGAAGGGGACUCUAGGUGAGAACAGGGAGGGUGGGGCAAAGUGGGGGUGUCUGCCCACCUGGCCCUUAUAAAGCAGCCUGUCCCCACCCCCUGGCCGCUCACCCCAGAGCACACAGACAAGACACCUGCAGGCAGCCGGUCCCGCCAGGACCACCUGCCACCUACCCACCAGCCCUGCCCCGACCACAGCCUCACAUUACUAUUUCCAGCUGCCCCCCUCCCAUUGGCGACCACCUGCAGGGACCCCUCGGAAGGCUCUGAGUCAUCCAUUCAACAAACCUCUCUGUGGGCCACCACGGCCCAGGCUUUGGCUGGCUGCUGGGCGUGACGGGAGUGGCUGCUGCUCGGACCCUGCCAGUGGGGAGGCCGUCACCCUCCGGGCCUCUCUCCUUCCUCCUGACAAAGACUCUCUGCUUGGCCAAACUUCAUCCAGGCUCCUGAACCUUCUCCUCGGCCCCCCUGUGCACUUCCGUGUGAACUCCAGUUUUAGCAAAAGAACCUGCUUAGUUAGUUUGGCCAGAACCCCUCAUCUUCGACAUCCGACCAUCCUUGAUAUCUGACCAUGUCUCCUGUCCUCCGCCAGCCCUCAGGUGAUGUCUGGUGACGCUGGCCUGUCUUCAGCAAGAAUCCUGUUAGGUCAUUUUAGCAGAACUCCCCUUACCCCGGAUGUUUCCUCGUAGUAAUUUCCCACCCACUUCCCCCCACGCUGCUCCUUGGCUAUAAAUCCGCACUUGCCCGAGCUGUGUUCAGAGCUGGGCCCAAUCUCUCCUCCCCCUGCAAGACCCUGUUGUGGUGGACCCCGUACCUAUCAGUGGUCCUGAACGAAGUCUUCCUUGCUGUUCUUGCUUUAACAAGUAUCAUGAAUAAUUUUUUCUUUAACCCUCCCUUCCUCUCUUCCUCCCUCCCUCCCUCCCUCCCUUCUUUUCUUCCUCUCUUCCUUCCACGAGGCAGGAGGGUAAGAAGACAGGGCGUCGCUCGCGUGUCUGCAGGCACCACACAAGGCCCACACCUGUGCACACGUGCACGGCUGCCGCGUGGUGCGCCGUGUCCACCCACCAGCCUUUCAGAGCCAGGGCGGCCCAGGCCUCUUCCCUGUUUUGUGGCUCCCAGAAAAUUGAAAAAUAAAGAAAUAUUAAAAAAGA